AAACUCACGGCGCAGGUGCACUCAGGGCGUGUCCGAAUCCACUUUUGCUAGUUUAACGACGGGAAAGUGGUCCACGCGCCCAGCGCAUGGUCUAAACGGGUUGUCCCUAUUCUCUUAAUGAGUAAUGGAUGUUUUUUGGGCAUAACAUGCAAUAAACCAAUCAGAGUCUGAUCUCCCAUCCCCAAAGAAAAAAUAUUGUGCCAGACUUUAGACCAGGUUUGAAUUGGUCUAUGGCGCAGUCUACUUUCAGCUCCUCAAAAUAGCAAUGCGCCAACAAUGCGCCUGAACACACCUCUUUUUUAGACCAGCAUGCCCAUGGGCACACAAAUGGGCGCAAAUGCAUUUGCUAUUUAAAAAACGCGGCACAGGACGGGGAAAAUGAGGACUGAGUCAGGCUGAAACUAGCAUAAACACUUGCCCCAUGCCUUACGUCACAUUACGAGCCAGUCUGAACUAAUAUUUGAGAGGUUUCUCAUGUUUGGAGAGAGAUUCCUAAACUGCGCUCAUUAGGCAAGAGAAACUACUACUAAGAAGAGCUUCAGUAAACCAGCAGGGACACACAAAACAAUUUCCACGUGCACAGGUCUGGAAACCAGACCCCCAUCGCUUCCGGCCCUCAGUCGGACUCAACGUUAAUAAUGCAUUCGUACGUUUGAUCCAAGUACAGGAUAAAAGCUGACAAAAAGCUUUGCUCACAGGGAGCCAAUUCUCCACCUUAAUUAGAAACACAGGAGAGCGACAUCACCCUUCAGCCUAACAACCCCGUUGGGUGGUUGGCAGGUGAUUGUAAACUAAUUACUGUAUAUUUAAAACGAAUCAUGCCUCUUCCUCUGCUGUCCCUCUUCUCCAUGGAGGCAAAGGGUGGAAGAGAUCUGGCAUCCAAGACUGCUCCACUGCACCACUUAUAUGUGAUUUCAUUUCCUCUGUACUAGACUGGCUGCCUAUAACCUUGACAACAACACUUGACAACCCCCAGUGAAACCCACGACUGACACUUCACACACGCACACCGGCACAGCAUCAAUCACCACAGCAAACCUAUACCAGGCCUGCACCUGCACUCCUUAAGCUCGCUCACCUACACUCGCACCUCCGGAAAACAUUUUCACAUUUAAAACUGUCUACACC
ensembl:lncRNA